GAUGAAUCGAAAGAAACAUCUUCGGGUUGUGAGCAGAGGCGAUGAAGGACGUGCUAAUCUGCGAUAAGCGUCGGUAAGGUGAUAUGAACCGUUAUAACCGGCGAUUUCCGAAUGGGGAAACCCAGUGUGWUUCGWCACACUAUCAUUAACUGAAUCCAUAGGUUAAUGAGGCGAACCGGGGGAACUGAAACAUCUAAGUACCCCGAGGAAAAGAAAUCAACCGAGAUUCCCCCAGUAGCGGCGAGCGAACGGGGAGSAGCCCAGAGCCUGAAUCAGUGUGUGUGUUAGUGGAAGCGUCUGGAAAGGCGCGCGAUACAGGGUGACAGCCCCGUACACAAAAAURCACAURYUGUGAGCUCGAUGAGUAGGGCGGGACACGUGGUAUCCUGUCUGAAUAUGGGGGGACCAUCCUCCAAGGCUAAAUACUCCUGACUGACCGAUAGUGAACCAGUACCGUGAGGGAAAGGCGAAAAGAACCCCGGCGAGGGGAGUGAAAAAGAACCUGAAACCGUGUACGUACAAGCAGUGGGAGCACGCUUAGGCGUGUGACUGCGUACCUUUUGUAUAAUGGGUCAGCGACUUAUAUUCUGUAGCAAGGUUAACCGAAUAGGGGAGCCGAAGGGAAACCGAGUCUUAACUGGGCGUUAAGUUGCAGGGUAUAGACCCGAAACCCGGUGAUCUAGCCAUGGGCAGGUUGAAGGUUGGGUAACACUAACUGGAGGACCGAACCGACUAAUGUUGAAAAAUUAGCGGAUGACUUGUGGCUGGGGGUGAAAGGCCAAUCAAACCGGGAGAUAGCUGGUUCUCCCCGAAAGCUAUUUAGGUAGCGCCUCGUGAAUUCAUCUCCGGGGGUAGAGCACUGUUUCGGCAAGGGGGUCAUCCCGACUUACCAACCCGAUGCAAACUGCGAAUACCGGAGAAUGUUAUCACGGGAGACACACGGCGGGUGCUAACGUCCGUCGUGAAGAGGGAAACAACCCAGACCGCCAGCUAAGGUCCCAAAGUCAUGGUUAAGUGGGAAACGAUGUGGGAAGGCCCAGACAGCCAGGAUGUUGGCUUAGAAGCAGCCAUCAUUUAAAGAAAGCGUAAUAGCUCACUGGUCGAGUCGGCCUGCGCGGAAGAUGUAACGGGGCUAAACCAUGCACCGAAGCUGCGGCAGCGACRCUUAUGCGUUGUUGGGUAGGGGAGCGUUCUGUAAGCCUGUGAAGGUGURCUGUGAGGYAUGCUGGAGGUAUCAGAAGUGCGAAUGCUGACAUAAGUAACGAUAAAGCGGGUGAAAAGCCCGCUCGCCGGAAGACCAAGGGUUCCUGUCCAACGUUAAUCGGGGCAGGGUGAGUCGACCCCUAAGGCGAGGCCGAAAGGCGUAGUCGAUGGGAAACAGGUUAAUAUUCCUGUACUUGGUGUUACUGCGAAGGGGGGACGGAGAAGGCUAUGUUGGCCGGGCGACGGUUGUCCCGGUUUAAGCGUGUAGGCUGGUUUUCCAGGCAAAUCCGGAAAAUCAAGGCUGAGGCGUGAUGACGAGGCACUACGGUGCUGAAGCAACAAAUGCCCUGCUUCCAGGAAAAGCCUCUAAGCAUCAGGUAACAUCAAAUCGUACCCCAAACCGACACAGGUGGUCAGGUAGAGAAUACCAAGGCGCUUGAGAGAACUCGGGUGAAGGAACUAGGCAAAAUGGUGCCGUAACUUCGGGAGAAGGCACGCUGAUAYGUAGGUGAAGUCCCUCGCGGAUGGAGCUGAAAUCAGUCGAAGAUACCAGCUGGCUGCAACUGUUUAUUAAAAACACAGCACUGUGCAAACACGAAAGUGGACGUAUACGGUGUGACGCCUGCCCGGUGCCGGAAGGUUAAUUGAUGGGGUCAGCGCAAGCGAAGCUCUUGAUCGAAGCCCCGGUAAACGGCGGCCGUAACUAUAACGGUCCUAAGGUAGCGAAAUUCCUUGUCGGGUAAGUUCCGACCUGCACGAAUGGCGUAAUGAUGGCCAGGCUGUCUCCACCCGAGACUCAGUGAAAUUGAACUCGCUGUGAAGAUGCAGUGUACCCGCGGCAAGACGGAAAGACCCCGUGAACCUUUACUAUAGCUUGACACUGAACAUUGAGCCUUGAUGUGUAGGAUAGGUGGGAGGCUUWGAAGUGUGGACGCCAGUCUGCAUGGAGCCGACCUUGAAAUACCACCCUUUAAUGUUUGAUGUUCUAACGUUGACCCGUGAUCCGGGUUGCGGACAGUGUCUGGUGGGUAGUUUGACUGGGGCGGUCUCCUCCUAAAGAGUAACGGAGGAGCACGAAGGUUGGCUAAUCCUGGUCGGACAUCAGGAGGUUAGUGCAAUGGCAUAAGCCAGCUUGACUGCGAGCGUGACGGCGCGAGCAGGUGCGAAAGCAGGUCAUAGUGAUCCGGUGGUUCUGAAUGGAAGGGCCAUCGCUCAACGGAUAAAAGGUACUCCGGGGAUAACAGGCUGAUACCGCCCAAGAGUUCAUAUCGACGGCGGUGUUUGGCACCUCGAUGUCGGCUCAUCACAUCCUGGGGCUGAAGUAGGUCCCAAGGGUAUGGCUGUUCGCCAUUUAAAGUGGUACGCGAGCUGGGUUUAGAACGUCGUGAGACAGUUCGGUCCCUAUCUGCCGUGGGCGCUGGAGAACUGAGGGGGGCUGCUCCUAGUACGAGAGGACCGGAGUGGACGCAUCACUGGUGUUCGGGUUGUCAUGCCAAUGGCACUGCCCGGUAGCUAAAUGCGGAAGAGAUAAGUGCUGAAAGCAUCUAAGCACGAAACUUGCCCCGAGAUGAGUUCUCCCUGACUCCUUGAGAGUCCUGAAGGAACGUUGAAGACGACGACGUUGAUAGGCCGGGUGUGUAAGCGCAGCGAUGCGUUGAGCUAACCGGUACUAAUGAACCGUGAGGCUUAACCUU
rnacentral:rRNA from 1 species